AUUGAACGCUGGCGGCAGGCCUAACACAUGCAAGUCGAACGAGUGGCGGACGGGUGAGUAAUGUCUGGGAAACUGCCUGAUGGAGGGGGAUAACUACUGGAAACGGUAGCUAAUACCGCAUACAAUCGGAUGUGCCCAGAUGGGCUUAGCUAGGAGGUGGGGUAAAGGAUCACCUAGGCGCGGAUCCCGCGCUGGUCUGAGAGGAUGACCAGCCACCCUGUAACUGAGACACUGUCCAGACUCCGACGGUCGGCAGCAGUGGGGAUCAUUGCACAAUUUGCUCAAGCCUGAUGCAGCCAUGCCGCGUGUAUGAAGAAGGCCUUCGGGUUGUACAGUACUUUCAGCGGGGAGGCGUUACCCGCAGAAGAAGCACCGGCUAACGCCGUGCCAGCAGCCGCGGUAAUUC
rnacentral:rRNA from 1 species